rnacentral:rRNA from 1 species
UACAGAGGUGGCAAGCGUUGUUCGGAAUUACUGGGCGUAAAGGGCUCGUAGGUGGCCAACUAAGUCAGACGUGAAAUCCCUCGGCUUAACCGGGGAACUGCGUCUGAUACUGGAUGGCUAGAGAUUGGGAGAGGGAUGCGGAAUUCCAGGUGUAGCGGUGAAAUGCGUAGAUAUCUGGAGGAACACCGGUGGCGAAGGCGGCAUCCUGGACCAACACUGACGCUGAGGAGCGAAAGCCAGGGGAGCAAACGGG